rnacentral:lncRNA from 1 species
UUCAGUUUUAUUGGUUGCACGCACAGUCAGUUAUUUCAUCCAGAAAAUCUGAAGGCCCUACAAACUAACCAGGUAAGGAUUGUAAUUCCUUGAUGCAUUUAAUGAAAGAAUAUUAUCAUUUGAUUACAUAGGUUCUGGAGAAUGCUAAAAGCAUGGUGGGUUUUUUUUUUCCCUGUGUUUUUUUCUUCCCUUGGUGGUCAGGUGGGUGCAUGAUUCUCUAAUUUGCAUAAACAUCAGAUCUAUGAAUAAUUCAUCAGGGUUAUUUUAAACACUAGGCUUCUACUUUGGAUGGCACUAGGGUACCGCCAUGUGAUUGGCUGAAUGCUGUUUUCAUCACCAGCAGAAUUCCUAUAACAUGAAAGCACCUAAAGGGGCUGAAUUGAAUAUACAGUAUUUGUUUUUUGAAAAAUGUCUGUUAUCUUUUCAAAGCAAAUUGUGCUCUUCUCUCCCUCCCUAACAUUAGAACUUGUAGCUUUUCAUGAUAAAUACAUUACAAGCUCAAAUGUGGCUACCGUUUGUAGACUUGACCGGUAUCUAUGAUUUCUGGAGAAUGGGGUAGCAGCUGUAUUCUUCUAAACAUGCAUAAACAUGAGCGACAUGUAAAUAAGAAACUGUCACAUGCAUAUGGAGCCCUGAACAGCUCCAUCGCCAGGAUCCAUCUAUUUCUCUUUAUCAGAAUAUUCUCUGAAUAGAUAACUUUGAGGCUCUUUCAUCAAUUUUAAAAUGCCAUGGACAAUUAUGGCACUGUAUAUGCAUAUAGUGAGCAUAUAUGAUCUGACAAAUUAUUUCUUGUGUAAUAUUUAAUUUAUAGUUUCCUCUCAGCCCACCUACAGAUUUUUAAAUUUAGUAGUUCCUUGCCAUACGAUAGUGACAGGAAAACUGUUAAUUAAGAAUGACCAGCUAAUUAAUUAAGAUAUUAGGGUGUAACUCACUCCCACGAUUUACUAAAAAUAAAUUAUGCCUUUAUGCUUGUGGAGAUGAGGAACACGCAGGUUUACAUCAUUCUUUGUUAGUUACUUGAACAUUAGCCAUUUGCAUUUCUGGUCUCAGAGUCCUCACUGACAAGAUUCUCACUGUAAGCAUUUGUGAUCUUGAAACAUUACAGAAAUAGGGGAUUGGGGGAUGGUAUAAAUUGAAUUUACUCUUUGGCACAUUCCAUUUUUGUUUUCCUACUUCAUACAGGAAUGUAUCACAAAUAAGAUGUUGAACAAUUACUGUUAUGAAAGGUAUAGUGAAUGACAUGUAUAAUCAGUCUGUGUAAUCAACUAAAAAGUACUUCAAGUUCAUUGUAUUUUCUAUAUAUUAUAUGGAUAAAAAUACCAAAGGCAUACUUAACAACUAACAAAAAAGGCUGAAAAUUUCUCAGUAUUUCAUAGGUUUGCCACAUAAUUUUUUAAGUUUAUUCUAAAUCAAUAUUAUACUGUAUUAUUUUUCAGUCUUUUUAUAAACAGUAUUCAAAUAUGAGCUUCAAAUGAUGCUGAAGCUGAAGAAAAAUGAAAACCUUUUCAUUUCCUUUUCUAGCUCUCUAUAAAGCUAAUGAUAGUGUUGGACUAGUUUCUAUUUCUCUUUAUUUGAAUUAUUUGUAGUUAGAUGAGGGUCUUUCUUUCUUUUCUCUCUCUCUCUCUUCCUUCCUUCUUUCCUUCCUUCCUUCACUCCCUCCUUCCUUCCCUUCUUCUUUCCUCCCUCUCUUCCUUCCUUUUUUUCUCUCCCUUCCUCCCUCCCUUUCUCUCUCUUUCUUUCCUUCUCUAUAUCUUUAGAAUCAAUACACUAAAAAAAUAUUUUUGAGAUAAUAUUCCUUCAAUCAGAAUCAACUUUCAUAAGCAAAUUUGACAUAUUUAUUAUUUUACCUGUUGACAAAAUACUUUAUAAUAAAUGAUAUGGAAAAAAGGAAUUCAAAACAAAAAUUGUUUAAAAUGAGAUAAAAUUGCAAAUAUCUCUCAGAAUUCCAUGUACUUAUAUUAGCAAUUUUGUUUUACAUUUAAUUAUAAAUAAUAAUAUUAAUCUCACAUCUACAGUGUGCUAUAUUUAAUUAAAUCUUGCAGGAUUCAGUAUGGAUGCUGUUUAUUUAAUUAUCAGCCAUUAAAUGUUUACAGCUAUCAUAAAGAGCAAGCAAUCUUUACUAUACUAUAUAGAGAUUAUAGAUUUGGAACUAAUUAACCAAACAUUCUCAUUCAAGUGAUGCUCAUUCUACUGAAUACUUUUCAUGUGAAAUCAGCUAAACUUACAUUUCUUCAAUAUUUAGUCCUUUCACUUGUUUCAAAACAGUCAAAAUUAUUUUCUAAACAAGAAAUUAAUAGUUAUAAUUUCAGAAGAGAUCUUAUCCUUCUUUAGAUUUAUGACAGCAUGUUUAUAAUUCUAUUUUAGGUACAUAUAAUUUUGUUCUUUUACCCUUUAUAUUAUUUGGAAUAAUAACUGAAGCUCUUUUGAAGAAAGCAUAUUUUAAAUGAAGUUGGAAACCACCAAGAUAGUGAAUGACCACAGAAUUUACCUUUCAUUUCAGUAAGAGAUUCUUCCUAGAAGGGCAGCAGGCAUCUUGUAUUGCAUAAGCUUUGUAUAAAGAAAACAAAGCAUUUGUUUUAAAUUUUGGAAAGUAAUCAUCACAAAAAUAUAAUUAAAAUUAUAAUACAUUACAUUCCUAAGGACGAAAAAUAAUUUGUAUCUUUCAAAUAGUCUCAUUUCAUGUAGCGCUUUUAUAUUUUUAGACAUCUAAGAAGAAAAGCAGUUAGGUAUAUGUUUAUACUGUCAUUUAAAAGACAUUUUUCAUUAAAAAAAAAGAUUUUUUAACAUCUGAUCACUCUGUAUUUGGUGGAUAAAAAAUAAACAUUCAGAUACUAUUAUCUGUAAUGUUUCCAUCCUCAAUGUAAUCUUCUGAUUAAAAUUGUCAGAAAAUUGUCCAAAAAUUGUUUUCAUGGGAUUUAAGCUAUUAAAGCUGUGUAUAUGUCAUUACUAAAUCAAUUGGUAGUUAAGGAAAAUUGCAACCAACCAGUGCUUUGAUCUAUAUAAAAUAAAACCUGGAUUGGUCUACUUAAGUUGAAGCCUUAAACUUAUCUGUACAAGGAACACUUGGCUGUACAGAAGUUUUGGAACUGAAUAUCACCUUAAGGCAAGAGAUAUCAAUUAUCUUUUACAGAUCCCCUAGCAAGUUCAUGCAUCCUUAUAAAAGACUGAAUGUUCGCAAUAAAUCUAGGAUGUCCUUUAGGAGUUCUUAGUCUAAUUGACAUGACCCAUAUACAAAUCUCUCCACCCAGUGUCACUCUUCUCCAAGGAACCCAAUCAUUCACAUUGGCAAAUAUACUUGAAAUUUUCUUUUCAUUUUCCUGAAAUAAUACUGUUUAAAUCUAGACAGAAUAGACCAAGUCUUGUUUAAUAACACUGCGUGUGGGGGCGCCUGGGUGGCGCAGUUGGUUAAGCGUCCGACUUCAGCCAGGUCAUGAUCUCGCGGUCCGUGAGUUCGAGCCCCGCGUCAGGCUCUGGGCUGAUGGCUCAGAGCCUGGAGCCUGUUUCCGAUUCUGUGUCUCCCUCUCUCUCUGACCCUCCCCCGUUCAUGCUCUGUCUCUCUCUGUCCCAAAAAUAAAUAAAUGUUGAAAAAAAAUUAAAAAAAAAUAACACUGUGUGUGAGUUAUCCCAUUAAGUUUCUUAGUAUAGAGGAGGCCAAGGAGGAGGAAAGGAAAUGACAAAUUGGCUUACUUUUGAGUUCUCUUAUUCUGAUUGGAGUUCCCCUCAACUACUCUGGUGGCUUGACUCUAUUGGUUAAAAUUUGUAUACUCAAUAUUUUAAUGGGUAGGGUUUGCAAAGUUAUUGGGUAAUGAAUUCAUAGCUAUUCUUAUAAUACAGUCCUUGUCAUAUUUAGGUUAUCAGCCAAUAUCAAUAAAGAUGCUACUGGCUUAGGUAGUCUAUAUUUUUAUUAAAUUUUAAGUUCAGACUUUGUUUGCAAUUUCCUAAGUACCACUGACCCAGUGGCACUCUGAACUUAGUGGUGAGGAGAGCAAAAAGUAUUUAUAACUAAAAUUCUAUUUUAAAGGUUAUUUUUGAGGGAACUAAAACAUUUUCAGUCUUCUAUCAUACCAUUUAUGAAGGACAUAUAUGAUAUAUUGAGAAUCUUCCUGGGAUGACUACUUAAAAUAGAACUGUAAGGAGAAAUUUUAACAAGAGGCUCUUUUAGGAUUAUCAUGUAUUCUCUUAUUUGUUAGCAUAGUGUAUUACAUUUAUAAAUUUUUUUUAUCGUGACUCUUGAACAAAUUACUCUGGAUUCAAAGAGUACUAUAUGCAGUGUUUUUGCAUUUCUAAUUUUAAGUGAGGCUGGUUAAAAAAACUGUUUUCUUUUUUGUCAAGUUUUAGUAUCAAAAUUAUAUUAACCUUAUAAAAUGUGUUGAGCAGAUUUCCUCUUUUCUCUGACACAGGUUGUAUAUGAAUUAUCUAUUUCUUCAAGUUUUGCAAAAAUGCCUAUAAAUCUAACUGGGCCAGGCAUCUUUUGAGGGGAAUGUUUUUUUCUUCUUGAUUCAAGUUCUGGAGUGGUAGUGAUCAAUUGGGUUAUUUCUUCCUGUGUGUAUUUCGAUCAUUUAUAUUUUUUCUAGAAAAAGGUUCUUUGCACCUAACUUUCAACUUCAUUAACAUGAACUUUUUCAUUGCAUUUUCUUAUGAUUUAUAAAUUGUCUACUAUAUGUGUGACAUGUCCCUUUUUACAUUUUGUAUUUUAUCUAUUUGUGAUAUUCUAUUUUUUUCCCUUGGUCACUCUUGCAAGUAAGCGGUUUAUCUGUUAUCAAUACUUUCAAGAAGUAGUUUGGGGUCAUCUAUAUAAUUUCCUUCUCUUUAAUUUCAUUCAUUUCUAUUUUUAUAGCUUUGUGACCUUUAGUUCCUGAGAAAUUGUUGCAAAGCUUUGCUCUAGCUUCAAAAUUCUGUGGUUCUAUAAAAAGUUAUCCUAUGUUUAGAAGCCAAUGGAACACUCAUAUACACAGAAAAUGGAGUGGGAUGCUAUUACUAAUUUGGUGAACUUAUUUUUUAUGUAGAAACCUUUUAUCCUAAAUAAUCACAACCAGACCAUUUCAUAGGGCCAUCAGCAGACUUUAGCCUUGGAGGCAAUCUACUUGGAAAGACACCUAUUCUGCUAUCCUGAUAACAUGAUUUUUCUUAGUGACUUUUUAAAAACUGUAUCAUUUCAUUUUGACAAGAGCUCAAAUAGUCCACAAAAUAGUAUUUGAAAUAUGUUGUGCUCACAAUUAAACACAAUUACCUUAAUUUCUUAGAAAGUAUUUGUGAAAAGUUCACAAUGCAAUACACAUUUUAUAUAUUUUUAAUUUUUACAAUAACAUUUAUUUACUUUUGAGAGAGAGAAAGACACAGAGUAUGAGCAGGGGAGGGGCAGAGAGAAGGGAAACAUGGAAUCUGAAGCAGGCUCCAGGCUCUGAGCUGUCAGCACAGAGUCCAAUGUGAUGCGAGCCUCGAACCCAUGAACUGUGAGUUUAUGACACAAGCUGAAGUUGGACACCCAACCAACUGAGUCAUCCAGGCGCCCUUGCAACACCCAAUUGUUUUAGACUCACACAGAAGAUCACUAAUCUACUUGGGAUUUUGUGUUUUACUUUCUCCAUUUUGUGAGUGGACCACUAACACAAAAUUAUCUUAAAAUCAGAUAAAGCUAAUGAAAAAGUGCAUCAGUAUUCUACUCUGCUUGCUUUGAUAGUAUUUUCUUAGUAAAAUCCAAUUCAUGCCCUUGGUAUUUUAACAUUAAGUUAAGUUAAAUUCUCAGUUAAUAGACACACAUAAAAAUCACAGACUGAAUUUUUACUUGUUUCAAGAGUUGGUUUUUGUUCGCUUAUGUGAUUGUUUAGUUGCCUGUUCAAAAAUUCUUCUAGAAUGAACUGGUAUGAAUACCAACGUUUAUUCUUCCCUCUAAGCCUGGUAACAUGGUAAGUCAUUUGGUCUAAACAAAUGCUGCAGUCAAAGCUACCUGUUGGAAAUAUUUUAAGUUCCAUAGACAUUUAUUUUUUAAUUUUUAAGUUUAUUUAUUUAUUUUUAAGAGAGAGAGGCAAGGGAAGAGAGAAAGGGGGACAGAGAAUUGGAAGCAGGCCCUGUGCUGUCAGCAGAGAGCCCAGUGUGGGGCUCGAACUCACAAACCGUUAAGAUCAUGACCUGAGCGGGUGCCUGGGUGGCGCAGUCGGUUGAGCGUCCGACUUCAGCCAGGUCACGAUCUCGCAGUCUGUGAGUUCCAGCCCCGCGUCAGGCUCUGGGCUGAUGGCUCAGAGCCUGGAGCCUGUUUCCGAUUCUGUGUCUCCCUCUCUCUCUGCCCCUGCCCCGUUCAUGCUCUGUCUCUCUCUGUCCCAGAAAUAAAUAAACGUUGAAAAAAAAAAUUAAAAAAAAAAAAAAAAGAUCAUGACCUGAGCCGAAGGCAGAUACUUAACGGACUGAGCCACCCAGGUGCCCCAACUACAGAAAUAUAAUGAAAUAAAUUCCAAAAAGAAAAUAAGAACUUUCUGGAGAAAAGGUGUUUUAUAGAAUAUAGUAACCUUGUGGAAUAUGGUAACCUUGACUGACAGCUAUGACAUUAGAAUUUUGUCAUCAGUUAUAGCCUCCUUACACUUUUUAAAAUUUAUACUAUAUGAAUUUGACCUACUUUAGUUAAUUUUUUAAAAAUGCUCUGAUUAAUUUAUCUGCUUUUAAAAUGUAAGUAAAUUUGAGAAGAGGAAAAUAAUUAUUCAAAUGCUAGUGCUAUAUACAAGUGGGCAAACAUGUAGGAAAAACUUUAUUUUAAAUACAAAUCAUACAUUACUGAGAUAUGUUUUAGCCAUGAUUAUUUUCAUUCCAAUGUGAUCAAUUUUACAUUUCCUUCUUAACAUGAUUUCAAGAGCAACUUUCUACUUAUUUCAAGGUCUGUAAAUUGUUUAGUUCAAUAUCUCGUUCCCAGAUAUUUGUAUCAAAAUAUGUCUGAGCUUGCACCUAUAUUUUCACAUUAAAUUAGACCAUUAAACCUAACUUCAAAUACCCAACUCAGUGAUUCUUUUUCUCUGAGACUACCCAAAUUCCUUUGCCACCAAUUUUGAAGUCUUCUGGUUACAGUGAGAAGAAUUUUGCCUACCAACAGACUAUUUUAAUAAGUCACAUAAAGUACCCUGGAGAGAAUCUGAUUUCACACAGAACAGAGAAUAAAGUCUCAAUAGUGGUUGUUUCUUGAUAUCUCUGAGACAAUAAAUGAUGUUUUAAAAGUAGUAAUAUCAAGAUUUUGGGAGUUUUUACUUAUAAUUAACUUACCAUACCUUUGUGCAACCUGAUAGGAUUUUUACUUGAUGGCAGAUUUGUGUGACAUAGUGGAACAAGCUGGGAAGAGAGUCAAAUCCCAUACCAAAUCUUGCAAUUAUAUAAGGACUCUCCUGGAAAAGAGUUCUCAUUCUUUUAUAAGUACAAUGCAGUAUUAUAUUACCAGUAUUUAUAUUUUAUAAAUAAAGCAUAGAAUGUCUUCUAUCUUCCUGGUUUUUUUCUUUGAAAAAUAAACAAUAAAUAACUUUCUCUAAGUACUGAGCCUCACGUGAGGCAAUCUGUUAAAGGGCAGUCACAAUAAAAAAAAAAAUAAUAAAAGCAUUGCUUAGAAAUACUUUCUUCUUUAUGUCAAAAUUUGUAGGUUUUUUCUCUUUAUGUUACCAGAAACAUAGAAGAAUCUUGUAUUAAGUGUUCAUCUGCUUCUUCUGUUCUUGUCCACCUAAUAGGUUAGUCUUUGAUAAUUGUAUAAAAUAAAUUUUACUGAGGCUGAUUAUAAUAUGCCAAACAAUAGAUGCAAGCAUGAGAAGAGAAUAUGAAGCAAUAGCAGAUGAUGAAUUUUUAAAAAAUCAAAAAACAUCCCUUUCAUCUAAAUGCCUAGGGGAGGGUGUGGGGAGAGAGAAAGGAAAGAAUAUUGCAUUAUCUACAUGCAAAAGAAUGAAGUGGAUGUUAUCUUACAAAAAUUAACUCAAAUGGAUUAAAAACCUAAAUGUAAGACCAAAAACUAUAAAACUCUUAGAAGAAAACAUAGGGAUAAAACUUGAUGACAUUGGAUUUUACAAGUAUUUCUUUGAUAUGACACCAAAAGCACAGGUAACAAAUUCAACAUAAACAACACUACAUCAACCUUAAAACCUUCAUGCACAUCGGAGGAUAAUCAACCAACUGAAAAAGAAACCUAUGGAAUGGGAGAAAAUAUUUGCGAUCAGAUAUCUUAUAAGGAUUUAAUACCCAGAAUAUAUAAAAAGCCGCUACAACUCAACAACAAAAAACAAAUAAUCUGAUUUUAAAAUGGACAAAAAACUUGAAUAGACAUUGCUUUACAUAAAAUAAACAAAUGGUUAAGAAACGUAUGAAGGGAUCCUUAAUAUCACUAAUCAUUGAAGAAAUGCCAACCAAAUUGACAAUAAGAUAAUACCUCACACCCAUUAGGAUGGCUAAUAUCAGAGGAACAGAAAAUAACAAAUGCUGGAGAAGAUGUGGAAAUAUAGGAGCACUUGUGCACUGUUGGUGGGAUUGUAAAAAGUGCAACCUCUACAGAAAACAAUAAGGCAGUUUCUUAAAAAAUUAAAAUUACCAUGUGAUCCAGAAAUCCUUACAUUUCUAAAAGAAGUGUAAGCAGGGUCACAAAGAGAUAUUUGUACAUCUACGUUCUUGGCAACGUUAUUCACAGAAGCAAUCCAAAUCCAAACUUUAUCACUGGAUGAAGAGACAGACAAAAUGUGGUAUAUACACAUAUAUAUGUACCCACACACAUCUAUACAUAUAACCUAUGUAUAUACAUACAAGAUGGAAUGUUAUUUAGACUUAAAAAGAAUAGAUAACCUUUUACAUGCUGCAACAUGGAUAAACCUUGAGGACGUUACACUAAGUGAAGUAAGCUAAUCACAAAAAAAGUCUAUACUACACGACUCCACUAAUACGAGGCAUCUAAAGUCGUCAAAUUCAUAGAAACAAAAAGUAGAAUGGUAGUUACCUGUGGCUGUGGAGAGGAAGAAACAGGGGCAUUUUUGUUCAACAGGAAUAGUGUCAGUUUUGCAAGACAGUAGGGUUCUAGAGCUCCGUUGCACUGCGCAGUAAUGUGAAUAGACUUAACGCUACUGAGCUUAAAAAUGGUUAAGAUGGUCAAUUUUAUGUCACGUGUUUUUUGUUUUUUGUUUUUACCGCAAUUAAAAAUUUUCAAGAGGUUUAAUAGCUCAACCCAAAUUACGCCAAACUUUUCACUAUUAGGAAAGAAGUGUUUGGGGCGCCUGGGUAACUCAGUUAAGCAUCUGACUUCAGCUCAGGUCAUGAUCUCUCAGUUCACAAGUUCAAGCCCCACAUCAGGCUCUGUGCUGAGAGCUCAGAGCCUGGAGCCUGCUUCAAGUUCUAUGUCGCCCUCUCUCUCUGUACUUCCCCCACUUGUGCUCUGUCAAUCUCUCUCUCUCUCAAAACUAAACAUUAAAAAAUGGUUUCAAAUGUGUUAAAAAAUUAAGUCUUAACAAAUUUUUGAAAGAACAGUAUAAUUUCAAAGUGUUUAACAGAGGAAGUCAGUAACAUACAUGAAAUUAAAGUUUGAAAAAUCUGGGUAUAGGUAAUUGAGCACACUGGAAAAUGCCCACUUUAUCCUAAGAUAUAUCUACUUAUAUUUGGAUCCUGGAGAGUUAGAGCACAGUCAUCUUUUGUUGUACAGUCUGAUUAAAAUUUUUAUCAUCUUUUGUUUUUGAUAUUUUUACUUUUUCCUGUUUUUUUUUUUUUUUUUUUUUUUUUUUUUUUCUUUUUUUUUUUUUUUUUUUUAAUUUUUUUUUUCAACGUUUUAUUUAUUUUUGGGACAGAGAGAGACAGAGCAUGAACGGGGGAGGGGCAGAGAGAGAGGGAGACACAGAACCGGAAACAGGCUCCAGGCUCCGAGCCAUCAGCCCAGAGCCCGACGCGGGGCUCGAACUCACGGACCGCGAGAUCGUGACCUGGCUGAAGUCGGACGCUUAACCGACUGCGCCACCCAGGCGCCCCGCUUUUGUUUCUGUUUAAACAAAUGUGCCCCGCAAUGGUUCAAUAAAUAAGACAAAUGCUGUGACUAUAAAAGCUGCAGUUUGUAAUAUACCACAUCUAGAACCCAGAACAAAUGAAUUAGACAGAAGUGGUCAUUAUUCUAAUUAAACAAUCAGGUAACAUCACGACAAGUUUGCAGCAUCAAAACUGUCCAUUUAAGUCCUUUUUCUUAAUGAUCAGAUGCCUCAUGUUUUCGCCUGCCUCCUCAUCGUGUUUUGUGUGAGAUCCAUUACAGGACGGGAACUUUUUGGACCUCCAACAAUGGCAAAACACAGCUUUAUCUCCCAAAGCCUCCAUGUCAAAAGCAUGUUUUCUACCUUGGGGCUGUCUUUCUGGAUGUGAGGUUUUACCAUAGAUCUGUUGCGAUGAUUUCUAACAUUAAACCUUUUGUAGGCUAGAUAAUCAGUCGCAGCUGUGUCAGGAGCAAUGGUACCUGUUGCGAUCUAUUCAACUCGUACGUAGAGGUCAGACUCAUGGCACCGUUGCCUGCAAGGUGUGUGUGCAGGACCCUAAGAACAGGCUCUCGUGGAAGCAGGGCUGGCGUAAAGGCGUGAAAAGUGGACUAAGCGUACUGAUGCCUGGCAGACGCCGAGGUGGGCGGUAAGCACAUGUGUGCUUCUGGUAUUCUUAAUUAUCUAGCUAUCCAGCUGUCUUUAACUUUCCAAGCACCCAUCCAUUCACCCAUCCACGCAUAUGUAAUUUCCUCCUUCCUCGCCUUCCUUCCACCCUGCAAUACCUGUAGGUGCUUACCAUGGCCCUAUGUUCCUAAACAUUUUAAUUCUCUAAGAACUUAAAGAAUGUUGAAGGAAGGUCUCAAAGAAUUUUUAGGAGUUACCAUCAUAUUGAUAAGACUAUGGACACAUCUUGUACGUACCUAUCAAAUCCCCCAGAUGAUAAGCAACAGCAAACGUGACUCCUCCUUUUCUCAGUCCGCGUGACAAAACGUAGCUGCCACCGCGUUUGCUGUUCUUCACACUAGUUGCAGUGUCGGGACAACUGCACAUUUUCCACAGUGCUCUCUAGCAAAUGUUUUGAAAUUUACCCUCCAGAGACCAUCUGCUAUAAAUGGGCUUCAGUGGAGUUAAUGAAUAUUUUAUUACUGUCUCGCGUAAUUUUGGCUUAAAAUGGAAAACAUGGGUUAAGUGUAAAGUGUCAAAUUAACAGAAAUGCUUCACUGAACCAUUCAGUCUCUGAAAAAGUUUUGUUAAGUAUAUGUGUGUAUUUCGUGUAAUCAGUUUACCAAUGUGAAUAUAUGCCAGGGAAAACAUGAAUGACUCAAUAUGAAAUGCCCAAUACUUUCUAGGCAUAAUUUCUGGCACCAUAAACACAUCACUUUUGAUUGAUUUGAAAUAAGGCAGUCAUUGACUGGUUGAACGAAUCUGAUAGGUCAUACGUUCUCUAGAAAGUCAAAUGCCUUGAGAACAUUUUCUGCAGUAAAGCUAUUCACCACACACCAUUUUUUCUGUUGUCACUAUUUGAUCAUCCUUUGCUUUGUGACCGUGUAAAAUAGUGCUGAAUUUCUCAAGUUGUUCAUUAUUUGCCUAUGGGAGAAUUACUGUGGAGUCUGGGUCAAAUUUGGGGCUUUAGCCUUCAAAAUUCCUUCUUUCUAAAAUAAAGAACCAACUAUUAGUUGAACUAUGUAUAGUUACAAAACAUCACACCUUUGCAUUGCAGCAACAGUGUAUAUGUUUUCUAUGGUUUUAAAAACAGAUGAGCUGAAAUAUCAGGUGAGAUUUGAUGACUUCAUGUUGCUCUGGUCACAAGAUGCAGUUAAAAAAUAUCUACCGAAGAUCUAUGUGUCUGAGACAAUGUUAAAAUUUUCAGAUAUAUCAUCUCACUUUAUCUCCCCAAUUACAAUGAUUUAUGAGAAUGCAUAUCAGCUACACUUUACAGUUGAGAAGGUGAUAGGUCAGUCACAGAUCAGGAUCUCACAAUGUGUGAGUUUGAGCCCCACAUGAGGCUCUGUGCUGACAGUGCAGAGCCUGCUUGGGAUUUUCAUUCUCUCUCCCUCUCACUCUGCCUCUCUCCCUCUCUCUGUCUCUCAAAAAAUAAAUAAAUAGACUUAUAAAAAAUUACAAAAAAAAAAAGGAAGGGCCAAACAGUUUAUCCAAGACCACCCACUUAUAAAUUGAGGUUUGGGUUAGUCUAACGCAAAAGCCGAUGUUUUGUGUUUUAUCAUGUGAACUCCAGCCCUUUAUAGCCCUUCACAUGAAUACAGUUAUUUUUAAAUUAGAAAGAUUAAAAAUUCACUUUGCUUUUUAAAAAGAAAAGGCAAAAGGAAUAAAAACUGUUUUUUAAAAAAACUUUUUCUGACUUUUUAUUAUGUGAUAAACAUUGUGUAAGAUACUUUCAAAUGCUUUGUACUGAAUCCCUAAAAUAAAAAUUAGAUUAUUUCUAUUGUAAAUAUAACAGGUAUGGUUGGAAUUAUGAAUUCUAGACUUCAUUUCUAGUUAAUAUAAUCCAUAUUUUUCUUAAUUAGGUGGAUAAUAGAUUUUUUUGACCUCAGGUAAACAUCAUAGAUAAUGGAUGUUUUGCUUUUAUUUUUAAAAAAAAAUUUUUAAGGUUUAUUUAUUUUUGAGAGAGAGAGCAAGAGAGUGUGCGUGCUUGAGUGGGGGAGGGACUGAGAGAGAGGUAGACACAGAAUCUGAAGUAGGCUCCGGGCUCUGAGCUGUCAGCACAGAGCCCAGCGUGGGGCUCAAACUCAUGAACUGCUAGAUCAUGACCUAAGCUGAAGUUGGAUGCUUAACUGACUGAGUCACCCAGAAGCCCCUGUUUUGCUUUUAGAUAUCAACAAUUGCAACCCCCCCUUUUUUUGCUAGAUUUAUUUAUUUACUUACCAAAUUUUCAUUGCGUACAUAUAAUAGGCCAGGUACCCUUCUAGGUGCUGGAGAUGGAAAUAGAAACAUCUACCCCUAUAGAACUUACAUUCUACCGAAUUUUAUCUCUAGAACCAACUCAUACACUACCUGGAAAAAUAUGAGUUACAGGUAAUAUGCCUAUUUGAUAAUCUUCACCUACCAUUAGUUUGAUUCAAGAGUUCAGGAUCAUCAAAACAUCAAACUUAAAUUGUAUCUUAAUCUGCCAAUUGGUAAAACAAUUUCUUCCUUUGGCUUUUUUUUUUUUAAUUUCAAGAAAAUCAUUAGAAUAAAGUGCUCAUAUGUUUACCUGAAACAGACUUCCCUUCAGUCAACAAAUAACAUCAACAGCAAAUUCUGAGACUGAGUAGGUGGCUAUAUUAUUGAGCUUCUUUUAAUUGUUUUUGACAGUCAUCUCUCUUAUAUUCCUUUGCUUUCUUAUCCUUACCUCUAUGCCUAAGGCCUAACACAACCGCUUUAUAUGGGGGUUAUCUCGUACCUUCUUACAUUCAUUCUUUUUUUUUUUUUUUCUAUUCCUAGUGACAUUUCUCCGUUUCUCCAUUACUUUCUUGCAUCUGAAUGCAUGGAAUGAAAAGUUUCAAAGUUGUUAUGUGUGUGAAGGAGUCUUGUUUCUGUGGUUACAAUUAUUAUCAUACAAUUGUAUUAUCAUACAAUUAUUAUCAUAUAAUAAUGUGAUGUUUCAGAAUAUAUAUUAAUCUGUUACAAGUUUCACUCAGUCCUUAAAAUUCAUCAUUACAUAUAUAAACCGGUUGCCUUCAUUCUCUGAUUAUUUGAACAGUUUAACAAGAUGGAAAAGUACAGAAAAUUAGAGGACAUUGCCCCACAAAGUACAAAUAUUAUACACACCCUAGACAAAAGCAGGAAGUUCAGAAAACAAUGGGGGGGAGAUAAUUUCCAAGAAAGCUAUAUAAAUGCUUUUUCUUUAAGCUAAACACAGAUGAGCAUGAAAAUAGAAAAACUGUUAUUAGGUAGAAAGCAGAAUUUAUUUAACCUUUUCUGGUUGUGGGUAAUUGGCACAGAAAGGAAACUUUGAUCCCACGACUUGUGGGUACAAGAGCUGGAGUUGUUUUCUUCUUGCCAGAGCCACGGCAUCAAAGAAAGAUGCUUAAAACAUGUUUAAAAACAUGUUCCUAGUAGUAGACAUACUUGCAGAAUUGGAAAGCUUAGCCUGAAAUUGCAGCACUUGCCUAUCUCUGUGCAUUAGAACACAGAAAUAGAAACAGCUUAUUAUCUAGAAUUCUAAUUGGCGAAUAUUCUAAACUUUUAAAAUCAAAACUUUGAACAGCAUGCUAUUAGCUUAUCAAGUUUCACUUGAGUAAGCAGUUGACAUGAACUGGAUUGGAUCAACGUGCUAAGGGACAUGGGUGAUGCUCAUGGAAUGACACAGAGCCGUAUGAGUAAAGAGGAAACAGUUACACCGGAACAGCCCCAGAGACAUUGUGCCUAGUUACACCUUAACUAAAGAUGAUUAUUACACCAGGCACUCCUUCCCUCUUUCCCUCCUUAUUUCCUUCCUCCCUUCCUUCCUUCCUUCCUUCCUUCCUUUGGAUUGCAUAAUUUAUUAAUAUCUAUACACUGUGAUAGGUUUUAGAGAUACAACAGUGAACAAAAACCACAGAAUCUCCUCCUCAGAACUCACACUUUAGUUAUUUAUGUAUAUUUUUCAUAGUUUGGUAAUAUUAGUAUAGAGGUAGAGACUCUUUGCUACCUACCCCAUAUCCACUGAAACAUUUUUUCCUUUUAAAGAAAUUUGGGGUGCCUGGGUGGCUUAGUCGGUUGAGUGUCUGACUUCAGGUCAGGUCAUGAUCUCAUGGUUUGUGAGUUCGAGCCCUGCAUCGGGCUCUGUGCUGACAGCUCGGAGACUGGAGCCUGCUUCAGUUUCUGUGUCUCCCUCUCUCUCUGACUUUCCCCCAUUCAUGCUCUGUCUCUCUCUGUCUCAAAAAUAAAUAAACGUUAAAAAAAAAAUUUUACAUAAAGAAAUCUCUGUUAUUGAGGGUGCCAAUGUAGACAGAUAAAACAUUUCCCAUCUUUCCUUUAAAAGAGAGUUAUCCAACAAAAUGUAAGCAAAGGUCAAUGGAUGAGUUUCCCAGCAAACUUCUUUAACUGAGGGCUACAUCCUUGUGCACUUUGUCCUUCUUCCUUCCUACUAUAUGGAACAUGGAUAUGAUGGCUGGAGCUGAAGCAGUUAUUUUAAAACCAUGAGACAACUUGAACACGGAAGCAAUAUUCUAAAAAUGUAGAGGGGAAAAAAAUCAAAGGAGCCUGAUUUGGCCCAAAGAUCAGGAAAGCCUGCCUAUGAAUUUCCGCUACAUGAAAAAUAAAGUCGUAUGUGCUUCUUAAAUUAUUUCAGUUUUUAAAAAUAUGCCAUUCUUUCUAAUUAUGACAGAUACCCAAAUAUACAUAUAUAUGUAUAUGUGUAUAUAUAUGUAUAUGUACAAAAGACAUAAAUUCUAACACAAACACAAAUUUAUACACAUAUAAUGAGAUGUUAUUCCAAAUGAGGACUUGUUUAUUUUCAGUCAAAACUUCCACAAACCCCUGCCAUUCCAGCUUUAAAAGUUUUUCUGUUGAAAGACUGCUUGAAAUGUUUUGAGGAAAGAUGCCCAACUAGAGAAACUGGUUGGCCAUUCUAUGCAAUUUUUGGUAUUCAGAAGGGAUAAACUAGUCAAGAGGAGGAGCCCCUUACCCACUGAAGUUCAAGAUAAGCUACUCCUGUUAUGACAUCUUCUACAUUUGCUUUGAUUUCAGUUCUACCAUUUUCUAAAUUCUUAGAGUGUAUCUUCUAUGUCAUCAAAUUCAUUGUUGAAUUAACUGCCUUUUAGUAAUUGUCAUUGAUUAUGGGUAUCUUCUCUCUUCAGUAAAAUUACCCUUGCAAAGAAGAACAGUAUCUCUUCAUGUUAUGUUAGCCACCAGGCUGAGACUAGGACAAGCUAUUCAAGUAUUAACUAGGUGAUCGUAUGACCCAGAGAUCCUUGUUUAGUGAAUAAAACAUGGUAUUUUGAUUUGGAAUAUUUAAGGUUUCUUUGUUUUGUUUUGUUUUUUAAAGGGUGCUUGGGGAAAACCUGGGUGGCUCAGGCAGUUAAGCCUCUGAUUCUUGGUUUCGGCUCAGGUCAUGAUCUCAUGGUUUGUGAGAUCAGGCCUUGCGCUUGGUUCCACACUGGUGGUACAAAGCCUGCUCGGGAUUCUCUCUCUCUCUCUCUCUCUCUCUCUCUCUUCCCCCACACACACUCCACACAUGCACAUGUGCACACUCUCUCCCUCUCUCUCAAAAUAAAUAAAAUAAACUUUUAAAAAAUGUUAAAAGGUAUUUAUAUGAGCACUUCUUAUAAGAUAAAUGUUUUCUUUUUUUAAAUAUUUAUUUCUUUUUGAGAGAGAGAGAGAGAGAGACAGAGCCUGAGCAGGGCAGGGGCAGAGAGAGAGGGAGACACAUAAUCUGAAGCAGGCUCCAGGCUCUGAGCUGUCAGCACAGAGCCCAAUGCAGGGCUGGAACACAUGAACGGUGAGAUCAUGACCUCAGCUGAAGUCAGACACUUAACCCACUGAGCCACCCAGGUGUCCCAAGAUAAAUGUUUUCUAAAACACAUAAAAGUUUCAUCUCUUGUUACAACCUACAAGAGCAUUUUUAGAAGAAUGUCUUUCGGGGACACCUCAGUGACAAGUUUAGUGACAAUAGUCAAUAGGCUGCUCUUCCAUUCUUUCAUUCAGCAGAUCUUUCUUGAGGACCCUCUACCCAGCAAGCAUUGAUCUAAGCUGGAGGGGAAGGGGAGGGGUGAGACGGAUGGGAUGGUAGUAAGGCAAAAACUGCACCACAAAGAACUAUUCUAACUGGAAAAGCAGACUACAAACAAGUAUUUCGAAUGUAUAAUAUAAUUCUAUAUCAUGAGAAUAAAAAGUUCUCGAAAUAAUUUAAAGCAGAAUGGUAGAAAAGAAAAUGAUAGGAAGAACUAUUUUUCCACGUGGAGGUAGCAAAGCCAACAAAACGAAGCUCUGGAAAGUGGCUUGCAGGUCCCCAGUUAGAGAUGCCCUGGGUUUAUCCCAGAAAUAGCCAGAAGUCUAGUAUGUCUGGACAGCCAUGAGUGAGGCGUAGUGCUAGGGGAGGGGCACCCAGAGAGAGGCAGGGAACAGAUUGCUCAAGAUUUCGGGGGUGAAAGUAGGAGUUUGCUUUGUACUCCAAAGGUAAUGGUAAGUGACCAGAAAGUUUUAAUCAGGGCAAUGCAUUAUCAGAUUUACAUAUUAAAUUGAUCUUCUGGCUACAAGAUAAAGGACAGAGUGUUUGAGAUGAUGAAAGGAAACUGAGAGACCAGGUAGUAGAUGACAAAGGAAGAAAGAAUGUGGAGUGGACUAAGGAGAGUAGUGUUGAGAAGUCAAAAGGGGCGACAUUCAGCAAAUACUCAGCUAGUAGAACUGAGAAGACUUGCUGAUGUAGGCGAUGUGGUGGCAAUAUUUUGGUUAGAGUCAACAUAUAGAGCAGAUGAAAUCCAGAGUGACAAUAUAACACACUGAAGUACUCAAUAAAAUGUUCUCAUUUCAUCCAGAGAGAACAAAGCUUUCCUUAAAACAUUUUGCCUUUCAACUGUCACUGGAUAAAUGGAGUCAGAGAAUACUAUUACGAAUUCUUAUUGGCGGUGAGUAUUUCUUUUAAGUGGCUAAUCAGGAGGUAGAGGGAGAAAAAAUAAAGAAUGAUAAGUUGUAGGAUGAUCAUUAUUUUGUAAACAAUGUAAACGAUCUGGAUUCUAAAUUAUAAAUGUCAAAUAUUGCUACUUUUAUUUUGCCUCAGACCUUCACUCUGUCCCCUGGCAACUGGCAAUUUUAAUUAUAGUAAGAAAUUUUUUUUAAAAAAUUGACAACUUAAAAAUGUAUAAAACCAGAUUGGAUAAGUUGAAAGGGCUCAGUAGGAUGCUAGGUAUAUUUUAUUUUUGAGUUAUUGGGUACCAUCAGAAAGAUAGACAUUCAGAGGAAGGAGCACAUACCAGAAAAUUGACAGCUUUGCGAAUGGCUUGAAAGGUAGGAGAAAGAUAUAUUUUAAAGAAUACCAGAGAAAAGGAGUGAAACCUCCCAAAUGUAGAGAACUCGGUGAUUAAGUGUGUUGUCAAUAGCUUCUGACAGUAGGCAUGCAGUGAGACUUUGGGUAUUUCACACACUGGCACUUUUGCACCACACAGAUAAACACAAAUCAACUAUUUUGCUCACUGAGUUUGAUGAGUUUACUCCAUUUCCUCUAUAGUCAACACUACUAGGAUUUAAUGGUAUUUAUUGUUGAUUCCACUGGGAAUCUGGAAUCCAAACUAUCUGGAAUAUAGCUGAUUUGUGACAGAUCACAGUGAGAGGUGAAUCCACCGGUGAUGGAUAGGUAGGCAGGUAGAUAGGUAGACAGGCACUGGGGCCACUGUGGCCAGAUUGUUGUAUCCAAAGAAGGUGAAAAUAUUUUCUAUGCCCUUGUGUAAAAUUCCCAGUUUAUUUUUAUACGAUAGCUCUUACUUAGACAGUCUUUUCAAUUUUAGAAAUUAAAAACCAAAAAGGAACUGAUGAACAAAAUAACUUCCCAGAAAUCAUUUUGGAAGCACUCAGAUUUUAACACUCAAUUCUCAUUAAAAGUCUCAAUGUGGGAAACUUCUAAAAGUGAAUCAAGAUCAAAUGAUAUCAGCAGUAACAGUUUUUGCCAAGAUAAAGCCUGACCUUUCUAACUUAAGCUAGGUUAUCAGGUUCACUGGAGAGAAUAAUGGAACUUGUCGUUGGAACUAGUAGUUAGCAAUUAGGGACUGUGCAUUAUAAUAAUUUCAUUUAGCAUUUGAACAACUUUAAGAUGUGAUUAUUAUCUCCUUUUCAUAAGAUAAAGAAAGAGAGAUUCAAAAAGAUAAAUAUUAUCUGGGACUUGUAAAGAAAAGUAAAUGGUGGAACAGUGAUUUACACUCACCCUUUUUGUGGUAUUCCUACACCCUUCUUGCAGUAGGGAAUCUUCAUUGGACUGAAAGGAAUGGUUAGAAGGUAAAUUUCAGCUCCUAAAAAGGAAGCACCUUCUAUCUAUUAAACACUCUUCAAGCAAAACAGACUUUCUCAGGAGAUCUCUUCCGGCUGCAAGAUCAUAUGAGUCUACUAUGAUAUUCUAUAAUCAUGAUAAAAUAAACUAAGAAUGGGAUUUUUAUCAUGCAAUUCAAUGUAUUAUAAAAAAAGAGUCAGGUAGGUAUAUAUCACCCUUAACAGCACCCGGGGAAGGCAAGGAAAGAUGGGCCCAUAACCCCUUCACCACUGUGCGACUACACCAGACUGAUGCUGUUCAUCUUUAGUUGCCUUGCAGGGCAAUAAGGGAAGACACCAGAGUCGGAUUGUGAGUACCAGCCACAGGGAGCUACACAUGAAUUAAUUCAUGUUUUGUCCAGAUCAACCAGUAAGAGAAAAAUGCACCAGAGUUUUGUGGGGUCACAACUGCCAACCUUAUCUUCUCCAACUUUGGAAAUAGAGAUCUGAUAUUUACUUCGCAUCUUCACAAAAGCAUCCUCUGUCUUCAGAAGGAAACUGAAGUGAAAUUACCUGGCUAGUAAUUAGCCAAACAAAAUUGGCCUGGCUAGUGACUCAAGGUACUCUGGAUUGUUAUGAAUCCAAUACAAAUUUAUUUAAGAGGGAAAAAAAAAAUGCUACUCUAAUCUAACCACAAAUGUCCUUUAUCACAUAGAUACUUCUCAUUCAGCUGAUGCAUUAGAACCAUACCAGUUAUAUUCCUAUUUCUUGAGAAGUUGCACUUUAUCUAAUUUGUUUACAUUUUGACCUUCGCCAAUAGUUCUGAUCAAUUUAUUUGUAACUGUUACAUUCAUACAUAAAUAGAAGCUAUAGUUCUACCAUUAAAUAAUAUCUACUUAAAUUUCAGGUAUUAUGGCUACUGAUAGUCACAAGAAA